GUCUGAGCGUGCGCACGUGCGCAGGUGCACAUGUGUAAUUGUGUUCUUUGAUUCCAGAAAAGCAGAGUGGUGUUUAGCUGUUCUGUUCUCUUUUGCCAUCGCCGAAGUGAUAGCCACCCUAGGCAGGCAGAGGCUUAAUGGGAGACCAGACCUUCUCCAUCUGCAUUCUGCGUCGGUCUGCAGUGUUGGGGCGAGGAGCAGCGUGGAGUCCUGGAGAGCUGCUGCCUCCGUAAUUCCACAGAGACCGCCUCAGCCCCUGUCCUGUUUCUCCCUAAGGCCAAAAGCUUGAUACAGGGUGGAGUGUGCUUGGCACCUGGCUUUCCCUCGCUGUGGUUGAAAAUCCUCUUGGGGCUCAGGGUACCUCCCCUCCUGGGUAAGCUUCUAGUGCUCUGGAAGGCAAUGGCUUAGUGUGUGGAGAGAGGGCUGCGUGUGCUGGAAUCAGCCCGUGAGCUCAGAGACCUGGCCUUUCCCACAUCUGGCCACCGUUGCACCUACAAAGUGCCUCCCUCCCGUGGCUUCCAGCUUGACUCCCAGAGAGCCAGAGGCAGGGCUUAUUGGAAAGGUAAGCAAAUGGGGAACCUCCCCUUAGGUGUCUUUGCUCAAAGAAGGGGAAUAGCUUUUAGUAUAAGAAACGACAAAACAGUAGAUAGCCCAGCAGCAUAGGUGUUCCUGCGGCAGUGUGGCGUAUGCCUUCUAAAAUCACCUUCUUACACAGAGAGGCACGGUACAAGCCUCAGGACUUAGAGGAACAGCAAACGAGGUUAGGUGCCUAACACGCGAAAACUUUGUUGGUCUCACACACAAAGAUCGGAGCCUAAUAAACAUAGAAGCCCAGUUUUACACACAUUAAAUGGGUAGGACAUAUGUGACUAUUACAAUAAAUAUGGCGCUUUACCUUGAAGAAGACCCGACGGUUGCCUGUAGAAGUGGGCACUGGAGGAGCCGCAGCCUGUGAGGUGGAGGAAGGCGGGUUACCUGAACUCGCCGGCAAGGUUGGCAUCCCCAGGUGUGGGUGGGCGUGGCUCCUUCCCACGUGGUGAACUGAGGCAGCUGGUAGGUGGUUGGGACGUGUGCAGUUGUGUGUUUGUGUACUUCUCUGCCACCCGGUUCAUCUGGAUGCAGUUUUCUGUGUUCAUUUAGCGUUUCUUGCAGACAGAAUCACACAUAAGCAAAUGUGAAAUUCAUUUUAUGCUCAGAUUGUCCUCCUAAUGUGCACAUCAAUCACAUUGGAACAGAUGCACGUUUUCAAAAUAAGCUUUCUAGCAGAACUGGCACCAGUUUAUUUUAUUUUGGAAUUGAGUCCCUUUUCCUUUCUUCCUGUUCACCCUUAUUGAUUUCUUAAUUUAUAUUUGUUAAGCCCAUAUCAGAUUGAUUUUUCAUACCCCAAGCACCUCUGAAGGCAAGAGAGCGGCCUGAGAGCGGCCUGAGGUCUCGCCAGCGGUUCUCCACGCGGAGGUUUCCUCCUUGGCGAAGGAGGAAGCCCGUCUGGCUAUCUCUCAAAAUCCGUCCCCCACACACCCCUGUACCUGUUGCCAGUACCAGGCACGGAAACGGGCAAAAUAUCAUCCUUCUCCUUGGCGUCUUGAGCGAGGCCCAGAUUUAAAUGGCUUUAUUGCGGUUCUUCUUAGGGAGCAGGUGACCCAGCGCUGGGUGUUCUUGGUUUGUGAGCAGAGGAGCACAGCCCUCCGCGUCCCGCUUCGCAGUUCCCUGCGAGUGUGAGGGUGGGAGGAAGGCGCCUGCCGGGCAAGACCCAGGCGUCCUUGAUGGACAGUGCGAGCAGGGCUGCAGAGGACCUCGGAGGUGUGGUGCUUCAGCCGUUGCGGCUGCCGCCGCGGUGAGCACCAGCGGCCAGGCGUCACCGGCACGAGGAAGAAGCGCAGGUGUCCGAGCUGUGUGACUAGGACCCGUUUGGGUUACCUCCCCCGCCCACGCGUGUAUGCACUGCUCGUGCGAGAGGGACGUGAGGAGCGGACCCGUCCGCAGGUGUCUGCUUGUGUAAAAGCCCGGAGGAGGUGGAGGGCCUCCCGCAGUUGCUGCCAGUUACCUCAGGGGACAGGGAGCACUUACUAACCUCCUCUUUAUACAUCUUUUAUUGUUUGGCUUGUUUUAAGAAGCAUGUUUUACUUUUUUAAUUAAAGAAAUCUAAUAAAGUAGAAAAUGAAUAAAUAAUAAUAAUAAAAAAUACCUUCAGGGCCCUGAGCUUUGUUUCCGUCUCCCCAGCAGCCUGGGUCGUUAAAACCGAAUGUGGUGUCCCGGGUGUGGGCCGCCCAGCAGACCUCUGCCCUUGCUGUAGCCUAAGAUGACAGGAACUCUUCCGUAGCAACGCUGUAUUGUUGGGGGGGGGGGGGCGUCUAACCAUUUACACCUCAAAAUCUUUCUUGCGUCUGCUGCUGUCGGCGCACUCUGCCUUUGGUAAGCACUUUGGACCCAAGUCUAGACCUUUCCGUUCUCUGGCUGGAUUCCAUCUCGUUGUGGAAAUCAGGGCUCAGCGUAAGUCAGGAACUGGCCUUGGAUGCAGGCUCUCUAGUCAUGGGUCCUGACGGCCACGGACGAGCAUGAAAACUAGCGUGGCCACGCACAGGUCGCGAGUCCUCCUGCGCCUCGGUGUCUCUGUCUGGCACCGGUCCUACAGUUGUGAGGCUUCAAGGCGAUGCCAUGUGCUAGAAGGCUUAUUACUGGGUUAGGUGCUGGGUGGCAGGCGUGGCAAGAAGGUGGCGAAUUUUGGCUGUUCCUCUUAGUGUGUCAGCCCCAGCUCAGCUCUCCUGUCCAUCACGAUGGGAUGCUUUUGGGUCUAGAAUCAGCCUUUCACCGCAUUCCAUCUCCCUCCUGACUGGAGCAUCGGGCAGGCAGCCCCUGAGACGGUCCCCGUGGCCCCAUCGGGCGGCCCCCGCAACGGUCCCCGUGGCCCCAUCGGGCGGCCCCCGCGACGGUCCCCGUGGCCCCAUCGGUCUCUGUCUGCUU